rnacentral:rRNA from 1 species
GAUGAACGCUGGCGGCGUGCCUAAUACAUGCAAGUCGAGCGAACGGACGAGAAGCUUGCUUCUCUGAUGUUAGCGGCGGACGGGUGAGUAACACGUGGAUAGCCUACCUAUAAGACUUGGAUAACUUCGGGAAACCGGAGCUAAUACCGGAUAAUAUUUUGAACCGCAUGGUUCAAAAGUGAAAGACGGUCUUGCUGUCACUUAUAGAUGGAUCCGCGCUGCAUUAGCUAGUUGGUAAGGUGACGGCUUACCAAGGCAACGAUGCAUAGCCGACCUGAGAGGGUGAUCGGCCACACUGGAACUGAGACAAGGUCCAGACUCCUACGGGAGGCAGCAGUAGGGAAUCUUCCGCAAUGGGCGAAAGCCUGACGGAGCAACGCCGCGUGAGUGAUGAAGGUCUUCGGAUCGUAAAACUCUGUUAUUAGGGAAGAACAUAUGUGUAAGUAACUGUGCACAUCUUGACGGUACCUAAUCAGAAAGCCACGGCUAACUACGUG